rnacentral:rRNA from 1 species
UACGUAGGGUGCAAGCGUUGCCCGGAUUUAUUGGGCGUAAAGGGCGCGCAGGCGGCUACGCACGUCCGUUGUGAAAUCGCUCGGCUCAACUGGGCGGGGUCGGCGGAUACGGCGUAGCUGGAGCAAGCUAGGGGGCAAUGGAAUUCCCGGUGUAGUGGUGGAAUGCGUAGAUAUCAGGAGGAACACCAAUGGCGAAGGCAGCACUCUGGGACGUGACUGACGCUGAGACGCGAAAGCGUGGGGAGCAAACAGG